rnacentral:lncRNA from 7 species
GCCGCAGUCACUGAUAGAACGCCCUGCUUCUGGGUCUGCAGUCCCACACUUGGCUGAGCAGUGUUCAGCAUUUCCCUUCCCCACAGAGUCCCUGUUUUCUGCUAUUACACACUUGGCAGUUGUGUGCUGGGGAGACUGAGCCUCUUUCUGUACAAAUGGCUUUGACAGAGCAGCUCGGAACUUGGGAUGCUUCCUGAGACCAGGCCUGGCCUGAGCCUACCUUUCAUCCAACUCAUAACAGCAGAAGAGGUAGAAGCGGAGAACAGAGAUAAGAUCCCAAACUGAUGCUUUUUCUAAGAGAUGAGACUGAGAAUCAAACGAUGAUGCUGUUCUUCUAAGGUAUGUCGUGCAAUAUGUGAAAGGCCUUUGAGCAGGAGGCAGGAGUUAGCCAGAGUAACUGCUGAGUGUGCCAUGGAACUUAAGCUGGUCAACACGAUAAGAGAAAAAGAGAAAUGUUCUCAUACGAUAUAAGCAGGAUAGAGUGGGACCUCACCUCCUCUGCACUGUCCUGGGGACUUGGAAGCAUCUCUGAUGUUUGGCUCUGAACCCAAGAGAAACGCUCUCAGAACUUAACCAGUCUUUGCAGUGAGACAAAGGAUGAACUGGUAGCUUGACAGAUGAAUAGAUUUGAGAAACAGAAAGGGAUGAAGUGAUACAUGACUGUCAGGCUUCAGAGAUACAGAAACAUAAGAAAAGCAACAAAGUAGAGCUGGGGAAGAUGGGAUCCACAGGAGCUGAAGGAAUCAAAAGGAGCAAGGAGCCAGAACAGAAGAGAAGAAAGAAUCUGAAAAAAGAAGACAUAGGCUAAUAACCUGUUUAGAAAUAAAGUCACACAGUCCUCCCAGAAAUUAAGUUGGAAUUCCUGAGUUUCUCUGUUGCAAAUUAUUUGAAAACGAUUAUUUUCCAGUCGCUUAUGCAUAUAAAAAGGCAUGAUAUUACUUCUGCCUGUCUUGGUUUUUGUUCCAGUGAUAGGGGUUUCCUUGUGACUCUUCAAGAUCCAACACUGCUGAUGACCCUUGGGAGUGCUUGGGAAUGUCAUUUUGAUUCCAUGAGUAAUUAGCUGUUCUUUUUGCUCUUCCUCAAAAAUACAUAAAUAAAAUAAAAUAAAA